UACGUAGGGUGCAAGCGUUGUCCGGAAUUAUUGGGCGUAAAGAGCUCGUAGGCGGUUUGUCGCGUCUGCUGUGAAAACUCGGGGCUUAACUCCGGGCCUGCAGUGGGUACGGGCAGACUAGAGUGCGGUAGGGGGAGACUGGAAUUCCUGGUGUAGCGGUGAAAUGCGCAGAUAUCAGGAGGAACACCGGUGGCGAAGGCGGGUCUCUGGGCCGUAACUGACACUGAGACGCGAAAGCGUGGGGAGCAAACAGG
rnacentral:rRNA from 1 species